rnacentral:misc_RNA from 1 species
AAUAAAGGGGGCAUUACAGAUUCACUGAGAACAGCACAUUUAGCUUCAGAAGAAGAAGGAAGAGGGGUCAAAAAUCUCCUGUUUUCUCUUCAAAAUGCCUCGAAGUAGGUCCGUAUCAAGGUCUAGAUCUCGUUCUAGGAGUCGAAGUACAUCUCCACGUCGUAAACGAAAGGAUAGGACGUACAGAAAGCGAGGUUCAAAGAGUCAUAGUCGUUCUCGCUCGAGGCAAAGAAGUCGGUCGCCAUUAAACAGAAAAGACCGAUCUUCUCCGAGAAGACGAAGGAAUCGUUACUCGAGAAGUCGAAGUCGAAGCCGUUCUCCUAGUGUAGAUAGAUUUGGACGUACUAUACCUAAGAGGAAAGACGAUGAAACGAGAAAGAAGGAAGAUCAAGAGAGACUAUUAGAAAUGGAAAGGCAAAGGAAAAUACGGGCAGCUGAAAGGGAACAAAGAUUAAUUGAGGAAGAAACUCAGAAAAGGGUCGAAGAGAUGGUAGCCAAGAGAGUAGAAGAAGAGUUGGCGAAACGAAAAGAUGAAAUUGACAGCGAAGUUUUAAGGCGCGUGGAAGAAGCUAAAAAAGUCAUGGAAAAACAAAUGCUUGAAGAAUUCGAAAGGAGAAAACAAGAACAAAUGGAAGAAUUAAAAAAAAGAGAGGACUAUUGCGGCAUCAGGAUUAUUCUAUACAGCUUUGGAAUAAAACAAAGACAGUUUAUUUUGUUCAAAAGACUUGAAAGAUUUAUAAAACUGUAUCAAAGAAAAUCUAUCAAAGAGGUUUUGACAUGGUUGACCUCUCAGCCUCAAUGUCAUGUAAAACAAAAAACAUUUCCUUGAGAAACUAUGAGAAGCUUAAAUAGUGGCAUGCAAUGCAAGAUGCAGAUCUAGACACUACGCUGAUGGCAAUACAGAGAAACCAGUCGCAUUAGGGAUUGUUAAACCAAAACGUAUUCAUGCUGAAGAACGGCAAGAGCGAGAAAGACUUCAGAAUUUAGUUGCUGAAAAACAAAAAGCUAUUGAGGAAGCAGAGCAGAGGCUGGUAAGUACGAACACGUCUGGGGCCUCCUGCAAAGUGUGCAGGUUGGGUAACUGGUU